CCCAUAAGAUUUGGGCCCAAAAAUAAUUGAUCCCAAUCCCUAACCUUAGACCAACCUUCAGCACAAAACCCUAGUCUUUUCCUUAAGAAAAAGAGACCAUCUUCUCAAUCCUGAAACCCUACACACAACAAUGGAGACUACAACAUUAACCUAGACUAGAGACCCUAGCUACUUUAUCUCCUUCUUCCACGACCAAAACCCUAGGACCUAAGAAGAACAGCCGCCAGUUCACUAUCAAGACCAGAACUGCCGCACAUUCUUCUGCCGCCGCUACAAACCAAAACUCGCCGGAAUAGACCAUCUCCAUCGCAACUCUACGCCAGCGAACUACGACCACCAGUUCUUCAACCUUAACCCGUCGGACCAGCCACACACCUGAGUUGCCGUACCCCAAUCCCUUUCCAACGUACUCGUCGGAAAAAUCUCACAGCAGCCACCAACGGACCAGUCACCCUGGACAACCCCUUUCAGAACUUAACCAAGUCACUUGAAACUGAAUCCCCAACGUUCAUAUUUGGGCUAUUUUCACUCGAUUUUAAUUCUUAAAUCUCGCAUAAAACUCAAGCCCGAGAUUUUCUGCUAUAAAUAGUCGAAUCUCAGGCGGCUUUCAGAUCAAUUCUGAUGUCAGGUUUGAGUUUCGAUGCUGAGAUGGAGCUGGUUUAGGUCAGUGUUCGAGGUUCGAUUUGCGCUCCUGCUGAUUUUCCCGUGAAUACUCAAUUUGGUGGUUGAAUUUUGUUGCUCUUCAUCAGGACAAAACUAUAGAUUUGGACUUUCUCUAAUCUAGAAGAAACUUUUGCCAGUGAGGUUUAUUUCUUCCUCCCUUACACUGUUUGUGCUUAAUCUCUUCGUUAAUCUAUUACUUCCCAAUUUGUUUGGAUGUUCAUUGCUCUAUUUUAAUGAUGUUCUACUUUUUGUUCACUCAACGUGUUCUUGUCUGCUGGAUUAAUCCCUGCUUGUAUGGGUUUAAUGGCUAAAUUAAAUUUUGAUUCUCUACUACAUCCCUUAAUUGAACGAUAAGCUUUAGAAUUAACACUCUGAUGAUAGUAGAACUAAGUUAACAAAAUUAAUUAGAUUGAUUAGUGGCUUGGAUACUAAGACAAUGUUAGACCGUGGAGAUUGGGAGUCCAAAAAUGAAAAGGAAGUUUGAGCACUAGAAAUAUUUUACGGUUUAUAUUAUAUUUUAAUCGCUAGUAGCAUAUUUAUGCAAGACACAUUUGGGUAGGCAAACCUUUAGGAAGUUUAUUUUAAUUCAUAAUGUUCGGAUGUAAGGUGAGGGUCGUCCCUUAGUUAAAUAUGUCCGGGGAAUGCCCCGUGAAGUUUGUUAAUAUUAGUAUCCGAGGUAGUCCCGAAGAACUAUAUAAAUAUUUUGGAGGCUUUGACGAGCGUGGUGGAGAAGUCGUAGUAUAUGUUAGUUUGGGACUAUUCUUUUCUAUUCCUUUUCAUUUUCUCUUAUUAGCUAGGGACGACCUCGAGCCUCUUGUGUGUUUAUUUUUUCUUUUAUGUGUUAUUACCUGAGCUUGAAUAUUUUAAAAGCCAACUUGAUUGAGUACGCAACCGUUACUUUCACGGUACUUGGGGAGUGCCUAACACCUUAUCCCCGAGUCAAAUGAACCCCCUUACUUAAAUCUCUUGUGCAGACUUAGUUGUAAGUCCAAGUGUUUUAAAAGGAAAAAUGUUUCUAAAAAAAAUGGUAGCCUGACACACCGAAAUCAAAUGUCAGGUGGGGACUCUGAGUUUUCCUUUUGAAUACAAUCUUUGUCACUUUCAAAAAUUGAAAACCCUUUUUUCAAGCUUUCACUAAAAUCCUUUUAUUUAUUUUAAGAGGGUUUAAUGAGUUUUGUUAAAAAAGGGGUGUGACAUCCCCGGCGAUCCUGCUGGGGAGUUGCAGGUUCGAGCUAGUAUUUGAUCUUGUUGGCUUUUUAGGAUUUUCAGUUGAGGUUUUAAUGUGUUUUGUUGGUUUUAUUUGAUUUUUAUUUAUGUCAUUUUAUUUGCUAGUUGCUUAUUUGUUUACAGUUUUUUCUUUAUAUGUUACUGCUUUGUAAAUUGUCAUCAUUUGCAUAACCCCGAGUCUUCUUUCUGCAACAAGUCUUCCAGAGUACUUUGAGAGUACACGACCUUUUGGUGAGUGGCUUGUGUCUUUAGGGGGGUGGAGUGGGAGCGUGGAGUGGGCGCACAGCUAGAGCAACCGCCAUCGACCACGUGCCGCCCCGUAUUGUCUUGUCUAGUGAACCUCAACCAUAGAUCAACCUUUAGGUCAUUCUUAUGUGCAUCAUAUCAUUUGAACCUAGUAAGGCUCGGUCCCAAGCACCAUAUCCCGUUGUAGGAAGCCUAUCCAAAUUAUGUCAAAAUGGGCUUAUGGCCCAAAAAGAUAUUUAAUCACCCCUAUGUGCUACAUUUUGCAUCUCUUUAGGGGUAAAGGGUCACUUGGCGGACCAACAAUAUUUGAGAGUAAACAUCAUUCCACAUUGUAGCUGAUAAUUCUCGAAGGCUUUCCUUGAGUCUCCUCAUGGCUUGUGAGCUCCUUUCGUUCAAAUUACUUGUGAAGGCUAUAGCUGCCCAGUUGUCAGGUACACGCGGUAGAGUCGUUCUUUCAUGUUGAAAUCUAUACACAAAAUCUCGAAGUAAUGCUGAAUCUCCUUGCUUGAUUUUGAAGAUAUCCUCCAUUCUUUUUUCUACCUUUUGAGCUCCGGAAUGUAUUUUGAUGAAAGAAUUUACAAGCCCAGCAAAAGAGUUUAUAGAAUUUUUGGGUAAGAGAAAAUACCAAGUUAACGCCCCUUUGGUGAGUGUUUCACCAAAUUUUUUGAUUAAUACCGAUUCGAUCUCCUAUUUGGUCAAAUCAUUGAUUUUUACGCCAGUUGUGAAUGAUGUCACGUGGUCUCGUGGGUCUGUUAUUCCAUCAUACUUUAGGAUAUCAUGCAUCUUAAAAUUCUUUGGAAUUGGUAGGGGAGAAACACUUGGCUUCCAAGGUUGUUGUGAAUAUUUAUCCAUAUCCACUCCUUUGAUUACAGGAGGAACUCCUGAUAGUUGCUCUAUGCGGUCAUUUUGCUCCUUGAGCUGUCUCUGCAGGGUUAGUACUAAAUUUUGCAAAUGAGAAUUAGCUGAAUUACCUGGUUCUCCCUCCUGUGAUUCACUGGGGGUUCCUCCAUUUCCUGAAUUAACAAGCCCAAAACGAGAAUUCUCCAAUGCGUUGUUAUUGGGUGUAGGUGUAGGCAGUGCAGAAGGUAACUGACUGACUAGAGACUGAACAGCUUUGUUGACAUGUGCAGCAAUUGCUUUUUGUAAAGCCUCAUCUACCCCUUCAAAAUUCUCAGAUUGUUCCUGUCCACCGGCGUGAGACUCAUGAGUUCCUUCACGAGAUUGCCAUGGUGAACCACGUGGAGAAGGGACCAGGUGAACGUUUUGUAAAUCUCCCUGAACUUGUUGGUUUUGAUUCACCUGAUUUCUUUGAGUGUUAUCAUUGUUGUUUGUCAUAGUUAAUGGAAAUAGAUUAUCAGACUCCCGGUAACGGAACCAAUUUGUUUAACCAAAAAAUAGAUUUUUAGUCAAAGCUAAAAAUUUAGAAGAACACGGGUUACUAAUAAUAAAAAGAGAAUAUAAAGAAAGAAUUUUGAGAGUAAUAUGACCAGAAAACAAGUAAAUCAGAGUAUAUUCAAAUAAUGUUUCGUGUGUUACAAUUGUUUGUUCUUUCCCCAUUUAUAGUUUUUUUGGAACUAUGUGUCUUGCCUAAGCUAUAAUGAGGCAAUAAUUAGCAGUUAAUGGCUUUUAAUAAUACGUUACACAAUCAUGUACAUUAAAUACAUAUUCUAUAACGUCUUCAGCAGUUAAUACCCAUUAAACGCUAUGUUUGGACUCACAUAUGCGGUCAGAUUCAUUCUCUUAAUUCUUCAUGAUCCUUGAGCUUUAAAUGACUUAAAUAGGUACGACUGCUGAGUUACUUUCAUAUCUGCUCGUGCCUCUUUAGCUACAUUUGCUCGUGUCUGUUGCCACAUGCAUCUCUUAGCUAAUUAUAACUCUUUGACCAUUUGACCAAUCUACGUGUCAUGACAUGUCAGCUUCAGUAAUCAAACUCGAUUUUCCCCAAUACAAAAACCCCCAGUUUCCAAAUAAAAUUUCAAUAUAAUCCCCAAACCCGAUUUUGAGAAAACCCAUUAAAAUUUCCAUCAUAAGUUGCAUAUUCCCAUCAUAAAUUGCUUAUAAGAAUAUAUGAAGAAAUAUAAUGCAAGGAAAAAGACUGAAAUUUAAGGAGAAAACUACCUCUUUUACCAUUGAUAUUUAACAGUUUGAUUGCUUUUCAAACUUUAGAAAGGUCCUCAACUACCAGAGAAAAAUCAUGAAGUCGAUAGUCUAGGGGUUUGUCGACGCCUACAAACGGCAAUUCAAUUUUGUUGCAAGAAAGAUCUUUACACUUUAUGAGAAGAAGACUAGGGAGAGUGAGAGCAACUAAGAAAAGUGGAAAGAAGGCAAUAGAAAAUAAUGCUUCGGGAAUUUUGUUGAGGAUGCACUAAAGGACUAAGUGAAAAGACAGUUUUGCCAUUGGUCGACCAACUUCUCAACUUCUCAGAUAUAUAUAUAUAUAUAUAUAUAUAUAUAUAUAUAUAUAUAUUGAGACAAGUGGUAAAAAAUUGAAUUCAAACAUUCAAGAAAUAAAUAUAGUACCAAAAACUAUGAGAUGUCUUGUCGAAAUAGUCGAAUCCCACAUGUUUCUCAAGUUUUAAUGUUAAUAAAACAUGAUUUUUCUUUCAUUUUUAUUCUAACUGGGUUCAAAGACAUAUAAUAUUUCAAGUUCGUAUAUAUGUAUAAAGUUUGAAUUUUUUAUCAUUUAUUAGUUUUAACUUUUUUAAUUAACUUAGAUUCAGCUCAUUAAGGCCCGGGUUAAAGGGUUAUGUGUUACGGGUCUGGGUCGGGUCAAUACGUUUUGAUCAAUGGGUCAAAUCCGGACCAGCCUUCAUAAAAAAGUGAACCGGCCCGGUCCGGUUAAGAACCCACGGGCCAAGAGUCAAUGGUUUCGGGUCCAGGGCAGGUCAACCCAUUUAACAUGUCUAAACGACAUUUCACUAAGAGACUUCGUAUUUUUAAUAUAGUAUAGAUAGAUAGAUAUAGAUAAAUAUAGAUUAGUGCUAAGUAUUCAUCUCCUCAUUUGGAGUCUCACAUUAUUCCAUCAUGAUUCGAUAGCUUAUACUCCUAAUAAGAAUCAGAUUACAAAUGCUGUAAAGAUCAUUUUUCUCUCCAUUUCACCACUUAACUAACAUUGUAUGGUUCUUCUCAAGAAGAUAAAGCUGAACUAUACACCUACAUGGAUACAGUAGAAAGAUGCUUCUUUUGACUCAUUCUGAAAGGGUAAAAUGUAUAUGCUUACACAAUAUAUGAGCUAGUUUUGUGUAUUUAAGGUCAUGGCCAUACACCGUGGCAGAUUCAAGAUUUAAACAUUAUGAAUUCUGAAAUGUAUAUCUUAUUCUACCUUUAUAUAUCUAUUUUUUACAGAUAUAUAUAAGGUUUGACCUUGAAACGCUGAAUUCUGCCAUCUGCAAAAAUAGUGGUUGAAUCCGCGAUAGAUCAAUCAUGCAUAUUGGGCUUCUAGGAAGGCAUUGAAAUCUUCCCUCGCCUUCACAAGGCGAGGAGUUACGCAGGAUUUGGGCGAGUCGGAGUCAGGGGACGAUGUAGAAAACCGAACAUGGCGUCUCGACUCAUCGGAUUUUCUAUCAAUUGUUUUUGCUGUGGUGUUUUUGAGGACCCCUUUUGUCUCCUUGUCAAAAACAAAUGCUGUAGUCACUGAGGAAUGAGUGUCACUCACACUGCACCUGACUAAUUCCAUUGGCAGAUCAAAGAAGAGAUUGGAUUCAUUUUCUUCUUCACUUGAGUUGAUUAUAGCAGAUGAUGUCCAUGAUCCACAUUCAAAUUUCUCCAAUGACACUUUUCUAGAAACAUUGUCUCCCAUAUUCUCACAUAUACCAGUUUCCUCCCUUCUGGCUUUUACUUGUUUUGCUUUUCCUAUACCAGGAAUAAACAAACACAUAGCCCCACAUUUAAACUUCUCCUCAUAAGACUCCAUUUUAUCUUCACCAUCACCACUAGAUUUGUGAACUCUGCUAACUUUUCUUUCCUCAGCAUGUUUAACACUACUGACUUUUGUCAACCCAAGUGCAUGUUUUUCCGGUGGCGCGCUUGAUCUUGAUCUUUCUACACCCAAUGACAUGCUCCUGCGCAAGUGGUUUUCUUUCAGCCGUUCGAGAUUUGCUAGUGCCACAGAAUUCUGCCUAGCUAAAGGGGUGUUAGAGAGAGGAGAAGGUUGGUUUUUUCCCUUCUUUUUGGAUGAAUUUGAUGCAAAUCUUGGUGAUGAGGUUGCUGAAUUUGGAAGACUGUUGCUCAAGAAUUUCUUUGAGGGUGGAAAAGGAAGAGGAAUUGUUAUGGGAUCAAAAGAUUUGGGUUUGUCAUUUGUGUGAAGUGAGAUGGGGAAAUCAUAUUCAUUUGGUACUUGAAUAUCCAUAAAUGAAGGCAUAUCUGAACUCUGAAGCUGAAGGUGAGUGAGGUUGGUAUCAAGUAUAGAGUGAGGUAUUUAAAGGAAGAGCCAAAGCACAGCUAAAUCAAGAAUGUGGAAGCCAUGUCUUUGUUUUUCUUAGUUAUGAUUCUCACGUUUUCCUGUCCCAAUGUGUGAAAACACAAUGUCAUUUAAUCUAUUAUAAGAUACUUUGACUUAGGAUGAACUAAGUGGACAACAAGUUGUACUAAGCCAUCCUCUCCCAAUGUGUGAAUUUAUUAUGUGCUACUUUGACUUACCAUGAGCUAAGUGGACAACAAGUUCUACUAACCAAC
rnacentral:lncRNA from 1 species